AUUGAACGCUGGCGGCAGGCCUAACACAUGCAAGUCGAACGAGUGGCGGACGGGUGAGUAAUGUCUGGGAAACUGCCCGAUGGAGGGGGAUAACUACUGGAAACGGUAGCUAAUACCGCAUACCAUAGGAUGUGCCCAGCUGGGCUGAGCUUGUAGGUGAGGUAACGGCUCACCUAGGCGACGAUCCCUCGCUGGGCUGAGAGGAUGACCAGCGAGGUUGGAGCGAGAACACUGUCCAGACUCCCACGGGAGGCAUCAGUGGGGAAUAUUGAACUAUAGGCGGCAGCCUUAUGCAGACAUGCGGCGGGGAUGAAGAAGGCCUUCGGGUUGUAAAGGACUUUAAGCGGGGAGGCGUUGCCCGCAGAAGAUGCACCGGCUAACUCCGUGCCAGCAGCCGCGGUAAGUC
rnacentral:rRNA from 1 species